GCUUUGGUGGCUUAGUGGUUAGGGCGUCCGCCUCGAAUGCGGGAUGUCGUGGGUUCGAGCCCCAUCCGAGUCA